rnacentral:misc_RNA from 1 species
GUUGGCUAAGAUGGAAUUUUCAACUUUCACUGAUAAACUUCGCCAGCGUUAUUUGCGAGGGUAAAACCUAUAUCCCCAUUGGAAUCUCAAGCUGGGGGUCGAGACCCAGAUCUUUAUAUCAGAAAAAAUUUCCAUUUUUCAGCACUUAAUCAAACCUUGCAAAUCAACGGACAAUGGCGGAUUCGUCGGGGACCACGUUGAUGGAUCUGAUAACGGCGGACCCCGCGGCGUCGACCUCAGGAUCGACGACGCUGCCUCCAUCUUCGGUAUCUGCAUCUGCGACGCCGGCUUCGCAGCAGCCGUCGGGAUCAGUAACGACAACAUCGUCAUCUUCAUCGUCAGGGAAGACGAUAUUAGGAGAGAAGAAGUCGAAGAGAGCAACGCUUAUGCAGAUCCAAAGCGACACCAUUUCUGCUGCUAAAGCUGCCUUGCAUCCUAUGAAAACUAAUAUCAUGCCUCAGAAACAAAAGAAAAAGCCAGUUUCUUAUUCACAACUUGCAAGGAGUAUCCAUGAACUAGCUGCCACAUCUGAUCAGAAAAGUUCUCAAAAGCAAUUAGUGCAUCACGUGUUUCCCAAACUUGCUGUCUACAACUCAGUUGACCCUUCGUUGGCACCAUCUCUUCUCAUGUUGAAUCAACAGUGUGAAGAUAGGACUAUCCUACGCUAUGUCUACUAUUACCUGGCUAGAAUUUUAUCUGAUACUGGUGCUCAAGGUCUAAGUUCAGGUGGUGGCAUCCCAACUCCUAAUUGGGAUGCUUUGGCUGAUAUUGAUGCUGUUGGAGGCGUGACCAGAGCUGAUGUUGUGCCAAGAAUAGUAGAACAACUUUCAGCGGAAGCUUCAAAUGCUGAUAUUGAAUUUCAUGCUCGGAGAUUGCAAGCUUUGAAGGCACUUACUUACGCUUCUGCAAGUAACACUAAUAUUUUAACCCGAUUGUAUGAGAUUGUAUUUGGCAUUCUUGAUAAGGUUGCUGAUGCGCCUCAAAAGCGAAAGAAAGGUGUGUUUGGGACUAAAGGUGGUGAUAAGGAGUCUAUCAUCCGGAGUAAUUUACAAUAUGCUGCUCUAAGUGCACUGAGAAGACUUCCUCUGGAUCCUGGAAACCCAGCCUUCUUGCAUCGUGCUGUGCAGGGGCUUUCAUUCUCGGAUCCUAUUGCUGUGAGACAUGCUUUAGAAAUCAUCUCCGAAUUGGCAACAAAGGAUCCUUAUGCAGUUGCAAUGUCAUUAGGAAAACUUGUACUUCCUGGAGGGGCGUUGCAGGAUGUUCUUCAUUUGCAUGAUGUGCUUGCUAGAGUUUCACUGGCCAGGCUAUGCCAUACCAUAUCUAGAGCUCGUGCACUAGAUGAGAGGCCUGACAUUAAAUCUCAGUUCAACUCGGUGCUCUAUCAACUCCUGCUAGAUCCCAGUGAAAGGGUCUGUUUUGAGGCUAUCUUAUGUGUAUUGGGCAAAUGUGAUAACGCUGAGAGGACUGAAGAACGGGCUGCUGGAUGGUAUCGCUUGACCAGGGAGAUUUUGAAGUUGCCAGAAGCACCAUCUGUCUCAUCAAAGGGAUCCACUGCUGAAUCAAAUGAUUCAUCAAAAGCUUCCAAGGAUAAAUCUCAAAAAACAAGACGUCCACAGCCACUUAUUAAGCUUGUAAUGAGGAGGUUGGAGAGUGCUUUCCGUAGUUUUUCCAGGCCAGUACUUCAUGCAGCAGCAAGAGUUGUGCAGGAGAUGGGAAAAAGUCGUGCUGCUGCCUUUGCUCUAGGCUUGCAAGAUAUUGAUGAAGGAGUUAAUGUGAAUACGCAUUCUGAGGCAGUAGAUGAUACAGCUUUUAAUGAAAACCCAUAUGCAACUGGUGUCCGAAGGACCUCUUCUGUAUCUAGUGGAACAGGUGGUAAGGAUACAAUUGCGGGCUUAUUGGCUUCAUUAAUGGAGGUAGUGCGGACAACUGUAGCCUGUGAAUGUGUCUAUGUUCGAGCAAUGGUGAUUAAGGCAUUGAUAUGGAUGCAAGUUCCACAUGAAUCAUUUGAUGAACUGGGAUCCAUUAUUGCAUCAGAGCUUUCUGAUCCAGCUUGGCCAGCCACACUGCUGAAUGAUAUUUUGCUCACCCUGCAUGCUCGUUUUAAGGCAACUCCUGAUAUGGCUGUCACUCUGCUUGAAAUUGCAAGGAUCUUUGCUACGAAAGUUCCAGGGAAGAUUGAUGCUGAUGUGUUACAACUGCUUUGGAAAACAUGCCUUGUUGGCGCUGGUCCUGAUGGGAAGCACACAGCCUUGGAAGCAGUGACUAUAGUUCUUGACCUACCACCACCACAACCUGGGUCAAUGUCAAGACUAACAUCAGUGGAUAGGGUAUCAGCAUCUGAUCCAAAGUCAGCUCUGGCGUUACAGAGAUUAGUUCAAGCAGCAGUAUGGUUCCUUGGGGAAAAUGCAAAUUAUGCUGCUUCUGAAUAUGCUUGGGAAUCUGCAACUCCUCCUGGUACUGCAUUGAUGAUGCUGGAUGCAGAUAAAAUGGUUGCUGCUGCCAGUUCCCGUAAUCCUACUCUAGCUGGUGCACUGACUCGACUACAGAGGUGUGCUUUCAGCGGGAGCUGGGAGGUUCGGAUUGUUGCUGCUCAAGCCCUCACAACCAUGGCAAUCAGGUCUGGUGAGCCUUUUAGACUGCAGAUUUAUGAAUUCCUAAAUGCAUUAGCACAUGGUGGUGUGCAGUCUCAACUAUCAGAAAUCCAUCCCAGUAAUGGGGAAGAUCAAGGAGCCAGUGGUACAGGCCUUGGAUUCUUAAUUAGUCCUAUGAUAAAGGUUCUUGAUGAAAUGUACAGAGCACAAGAUGAACUGAUCAAGGAUAUACGCAACCACGAUAACACAAAUAAAGAAUGGACGGAUGAAGAGUUGAAGAAACUUUAUGAAACCCAUGAACGGUUGCUAGAUCUCGUUUCAUUAUUUUGUUAUGUUCCCCGAGCAAAGUAUCUACCUUUGGGGCCAAUAAGUGCAAAACUUAUUGAUGUCUACCGUACAAAGCACAACAUAAGUGCAUCAACUGGUUUAAGUGACCCAGCUGUUGCCACUGGAAUUUCUGACCUAAUUUAUGAAUCUAAGCCACCUCCUGUUGAGUCUGAUGCACUUGAUGAUGACUUGGUGAAUGCCUGGGCAGCAAAUCUUGGUGAUGAUGGGUUAUUGGGAAACAGUGCACCUGCAAUGAAUAGGGUCAAUGAAUUUCUUGCUGGUAUUGGAACUGAUGCUCCCGAUGUUGAAGAAGAGAAUAUAAUCUCUAGACCUUCAGUUAGCUAUGAUGAUAUGUGGGCAAAGACACUAUUGGAGCCUUCAGAAUUGGAGGAAGAUGAUGGGAGGUCAUCUGGGACAUCUUCCCCAGACUCAACAGGAUCUGUUGAAACUUCCAUAUCAUCCCACUUUGGUGGAAUGAGCUACCCAUCACUGUUCAGUUCAAAGCCAACCAAUUAUGGAGCAUCACAGAGCUCGGAGAGGUCAGGGGGAAGAAGGUAUGGUGGCUCCUCAUCAAUUUAUGAGACAGGGUCUCCGAUUAGAGAAGAGCCUCCAUCAUAUGCAUCAUCUGUUAUGCAGAGGUACGAGUCAUUUGAGAAUCCUUUAGCUUCUCGUGGGUCCCAGAGUUUUGAAUCUGAGGAUGAGGAACGACUUUCUUCUGGAAAUCCACAAUCAGGAAAGGCACUCUAUGACUUCACUGCUGGUGGAGACGAUGAGUUAAAUUUAACAGCUGGAGAAGAGGUCGAAAUCGAAUACGAAGUUGAUGGAUGGUACCAUGUGAAGAAGAAGCGUCCUGGAAGGGAUGGUAAAAUGGCAGGGCUAGUUCCUGUCCUAUAUGUCAAUAAAUCUUGACAUCUCACAAGUAACAAAUCCUUAUUCUUCACCAAUCACCAUGUGCCAUAUAUCAAUUUUCUGUAGAAUAAUGUAGCGUGCUUGUGUUCUAAGAGGUUAUACCUUUUUUUUUUUUUUAAAUAUAUAUCUGAUUUUUUUUUUCCCUCCAAAUUUGAUAGGUGAAGUUGGAUGAAACUGUCAGAUUCUUCAUUAGGAUUUGAUUUUUAUUAUAUUGCUUUAUUUUAAUAUUUUUUAACUGGACUAUUGAGCCACAUAACACGUGUUGAUGUAGUCCAUUCCACUAUAUAUGCUAGUUUCUUUUCAUUUUUUUUUAAACACCGACGCACAUUGUUCUUGUUCAUGAUUUAAUUAUUUUAAAUCUUUAAAUAUUUU